rnacentral:misc_RNA from 1 species
GCUUUGUACAACCCUUGGCUCCGCAACCAUAUUUCCAGCCAUACUUCUCAUCCCUAAUUUUACGGACAUAGGGAUCUAAGGCUUCGGCGGCAACAGCAUCAAGUUUUUCCUUUGCAGCCAUUACCUCCAAGGGAUCCUUCCCCUUCAGCCUGUCUUGCCAAUGAGAAUCCACUUUUGAUUCCCACUCUGCUCCAUUGCUUGUUGCAUCAGCAGCCUUGCCGUCCACUCUCACAUGCCGGAGACCCUUGGCUUCAUUUGUCUCUGCCAGGCCAUAAUAAUCCACCCCAUGAAUGCGCCACAGAUAGGUUAGAAGUGUAUCAAGUAACUCAGUUCCCUCGAGACCUUUCACUGAAGUUAAGCCCCUUAUGAUAAUAACUGGGCCUGUGGAACCAUGAGACUUGUCUCUGCUUCCCCUAUCAUUAUCAGACCGAGAUAGUAUGUUAUCCUCUAUUCCCUUCUCCGAGUCAAGCUUCCUCACAAGUGCCUGUGCUUGUUCAACAUCAAUCUGGACUCUUCUGGGAUCAGAACUCACUAGGUGAGCCUUUGGAGCAGCUAAAAGUAAGUCAGGGUCUUUAUUGUGUCCCCUCCCAUGCCUCCUCCUUUUGCCAUUUUCAUCUGCUUCUUCAUCAGAAUUUGGCUCACUUGACUGUCCUGAUUUGUUUGUAGGAGGAGGUGCAACACCAGGACCUAUGUCUAGAGUUCCACUCUGCAAAUCAAGUAAGAAAUCCUUUGCCGAUUUCCUUGCAAGCUCAUUCCUCCUUUCAAUAACAGAAAUUAAGUUUGAUGGAUGGUAUUUGUCUUUCAACCAUUCUUCAUCUUUAUGAGCGUUAAAAUAAGCUCUUUUUUGUGCUUCUAUGUACCCAGCCUUGUAUUCUUGGUACCUGCGCUCAGCUUCAGCUGGCAAGAUAUCAUCUUCAAGCUCCUGAAU